UGUUCCUACGGGGGGCAGCAGUGGGGAAUAUUGCACAAUGGGGGAAACCCUGAUGCAGCGACGCCGCGUGAGUGAAGAAGUAUUUCGGUACGUAAAGCUCUAUCAGCAGGGAAGAAAAAAAGUCCUUUGGACUUUGGACGGUACCUGACCAAGAAGCCCCGGCUAACUACGUGCCAGCAGCCGCGGUAAUACGUAGGGGCAAGCGUUAUCCCGGAUUACUUGGUGUAAAGGGA
rnacentral:rRNA from 1 species